rnacentral:lncRNA from 1 species
UCGCCUUCUCUUAGUAGUUAACUUGCAAUAUUUAUAUGGUUAAAAUUAAAAGGUGCAUAUUGUGAUAGGAAAGCAGAAAGGUCCAUUGCUAUAUAUACCAACAAACAACAAGCCAUAUGGUCAUAUGGAGAUGCUCUCUCUGAUCUAAGAGAUUAGAGUCUUAGCCACAAAUGAUGGAUGAGUAGACCAUGGGUGUGGUAUGUUAUGUCAGACAAAGUACGCUCCCAAACUAAGGUACAAAAUUGUAUUAUUGAAUAUGAAUAAGGCAAUUUUGGGUUGCGGCCUAUAUGAUAAGAUAGAGCACCAUAUGCUUGAUUUUGGUGUUUUCUAUUUCCCCUCAACACUAAAAUAACGGUAAUGUUAUUUAUAUGUUCUUUCAAAUUAUGCUGGUACAGGUGUCUUGCAGUCUAGACAGCCAAGAAGUUACCAACGUACGUAGCCUGCUGAAGGAUUGUGACAUUAUGUCAUUCUUUUUAAAAUAAAUGUUGACACCAUGGUUAAGUUAAAGAAAUCUUAGUUCUUUAUUAUUAUAUGAUGUUCCAUUCGCUCAUAUUACAUUGUUAUUGCUAUACUGUUCCUUGAGCCAGGGUCUAUCGAAUAAGAGAUAAGAGAUCUACGUACACAUCACUCUCCCCAGGCCACACAUGUAAGCAGAGACGGGUCCAAGAUUUAUAAUUUAUGGGUUUCUAUAUCGACCUUAAGUAAAUAUACAAUAAGUAACUAGGUUCACAAUCAAAUAUUUAUGGAUAUUUAGUUAAUUUUUAAUACAUAUACAGGGUAUAUGCAAAAACUACUGGAUUCACGGGAACCCACGUAUAACAGGGUAGAUCCACCCCUGCCUGUAAGAUUACACUGGGUUAUUGUUGUGGUGGUUAGGUUAAAGAAAACUCAUCUAGAUAUUGGGAAAAAAGGUUUUAAAAG